CCCAAGCCUAGAAAAGGAGAGCUGAGGUAGGGGCACCUCCCGGGCAGGGCAGGGCAGCAGCUGCAGCUGGGCCUGGCCAGUCCUUGCCACAGGACAGCGACCCACAGGAGGCAUCAAAAUGACCACAGAACAGAGCCUAAGUAGAACUUUACUGUGGACCCAAAUCCCACGAGUAACAUCGCCUUUUGUGAUCCCAGUCCUGAUUUCUGGAAGACAACACUCAUCUAGGACAGAGGAUGACCAAAAUGUGGCACAAAAGCACAGCCCCACGGGCACAGUUCCCUCCAGACCCUGACUCGAUGUUUUCUCUGGCGCACGGUGAGGGCCUUGUCCAGCACUACACGGGGGAAGCCGGUGGCAAUGUGCAGCGCAGGCUCUUACCACGUACACCUGCUGUCAUUCUGCUCCAUCAGAUAAUUUUGAAAAGAGGGGGGUGAAAACCACGUGAAGAAGUUUGCCAGCGCCCGCGAGCAGCUCCCUCAGGACUCAGCGCGUUCCCUGAGGCGUUAUCGCCGCAGUCACAGCGAGGGGCUCCGCGUGUCAGGGCCCAGCCCCGAGUGCCGGCCCGGCCCCUCACACACGGGGA